rnacentral:rRNA from 1 species
UACGGGGGGGGCAAGCGUUGUUCGGAAUUACUGGGCGUAAAGGCUCGUAGGCGGCCAACUAAGUCCGACGUGAAAUCCCCAGGCUUAACCUGGGAACUGCGUCGGAUACUGGAUGGCUUGAAUUCGGGGAGAGGGAUGCAGAAUUCCAGGUGUAGCGGUGAAAUGCGUAGAUAUCUGGAGGAAUACCGGUGGCGAAGGCGGCAUC